GUCUUUUUGUAAAUAAUUUAAAGUCUAAUCUGCCCACUGAUUUAUUAAAGGGCUGCAGUAUAUUGACUGUACAAAGGUAGCAUAAUCAUUAGUCUCUUAAUUAGUGACUUGUAUGAAGGAUUUGAUGAAAUAUAAACUGUCUCUUUUUAAUUUAUAAAAUUUAAUUUUUUAGUAAAAAAGCUAAAAUUUUAUUAAAAGACGAGAAGACCCUAUAGAGUUUUAUAUUUUAAUAAAUUAAAAUUUUUUAUAAAAUUUAAAAUUUUAAUUUAUUAAUAUAUUUUAUUGGGGUGAUAGAAAAAUUAAUAUAACUUUUUAUAAAUUUUAACAUUUAUUUAUGAUUAUGUGAUCCGUAAAUUACGAUUAUAAGAAAAAAUUACCUUAGGGAUAACAGCGUAAUUUUUUUUUUUAGUUCAAAUAAGAAAAAAAGUUUGCGACCUCGAUGUUGGAUUAAGAUAAAAUUUAAAUGCAAAAGUUUAAAAUUUUGAUCUGUUCGAUCAUUAAAAUCUUACA
rnacentral:rRNA from 1 species